rnacentral:rRNA from 3 species
UUGAUAGUACCUUACUACAUGGAUAACCGUGGUAAUUCUAGAGCUAAUACAUGCUGGAAACCCCAACUUCGGGAGGGGUGUAUUUAUUAGAUAAAAAACCAACGCCCUUCGGGGCUUCUUGGUGAUUCAUAAUAACUUUACGGAUCGCAUGGCCUUGCGCCGGCGACGGUUCAUUCAAAUUUCUGCCCUAUCAACUUUCGAUGGUAAGGUAUUGGCUUACCAUGGUUUCAACGGGUAACGGGGAAUUAGGGUUCGAUUCCGGAGAGGGAGCCUGAGAAACGGCUACCACAUCCAAGGAAGGCAGCAGGCGCGCAAAUUACCCAAUCCCGACACGGGGAGGUAGUGACAAUAAAUACUGAUACAGGGCUCUUUUGGGUCUUGUAAUUGGAAUGAGUACAAUUUAAACCUCUUAACGAGGAACAAUUGGAGGGCAAGUCUGGUGCCAGCAGCCGCGGUAAUUCCAGCUCCAAUAGCGUAUAUUAAAGUUGUUGCAGUUAAAAAGCUCGUAGUUGAAACUUGGGUCUGGCUGGCAGGUCCGCCUCACCGCGUGUACUUGUCCGGCCGGGCCUUCCUUCUGGAGAACCUCAUGCCCUUCACUGGGCGUGUUGGGGACCAGGACUUUUACUUUGAAAAAAUUAGAGUGUUCAAAGCAGGCCUUUGCUCGAAUACGUUAGCAUGGAAUAAUAGAAUAGGACGUGCGGUCCUAUUUUGUUGGUUUCUAGGACCGCCGUAAUGAUUAAUAGGGACAGUCGGGGGCAUCAGUAUUCAAUUGUCAGAGGUGAAAUUCUUGGAUUUAUUGAAGACUAACUACUGCGAAAGCAUUUGCCAAGGAUGUUUUCAUUAAUCAGUGAACGAAAGUUAGGGGAUCGAAGACGAUCAGAUACCGUCGUAGUCUUAACCGUAAACUAUGCCGACUAGGGAUCGGGCGAUGUUCUUUUUCUGACUCGCUCGGCACCUUACGAGAAAUCAAA